rnacentral:rRNA from 1 species
AAUGAACGUUGGCGGCGUGGAUUAGGCAUGCAAGUCGAGCGGUAGGGAAUCACUCACUUCAAGCUGUUGGCGAAUAGCUGAGAGCUUUGAGGUGAGUGGUUCCUGAGAGCGGCGAAAGGGAGAGUAACGCGUAGUUAUGUGCCCCGAGGACCGGAAUAGCCACGGGAAACUGUGGGUAAUGCCGGAUAAUAUCUCUGGAUCAAAGGUGUGAUUCCGCCUUGGGAGCAGACUGCGUCGUACUAGCUAGUUGGUAGGGUAAUGGCCUACCAAGGCGAUGAUGCGUAGCGGGUGUGAGAGCAUGACCCGUCUCACUGGGACUGAGACACUGCCCAGACACCUACGGGUGGCUGCAGUCGAGAAUCUUCGGCAAUGGGCGAAAGCCUGACCGAGCGACGCCGCGUGUGGGAUGAAGGCCUUCGGGUUGUAAACCACUGUCGUAGAGGAGGAAAUCAUCGGGGGUUCUCCCCCGGAGUUGACCUAUUCUAGGAGGAAGGACGGGCUAAGUACGUGCCAGCAGCCGCGGUAAAAC